rnacentral:rRNA from 1 species
UACGUAGGGGGCAAGCGUUGUCCGGAAUCAUUGGGCGUAAAGAGCGUGUAGGCGGCCAGAAAAGUCCGCUGUGAAAACUCGAGGCUCAACUUCGAGCUGUCGGUGGAAACUUUCUGGCUAGAGUCCGGAAGAGGAGAAUGGAAUUCCUGGUGUAGCGGUGAAAUGCGCAGAUAUCGGGAGGAACACCAGUGGCGAAGGCGACUACCUGGCCUGUUCUUGACGCUGAGGCGCGAAAGCUAGGGGAGCAAACGGG